UUUAGCCAACAGCCGCUACCAAACGCUUCAGUCUAUAAGCGACAACGUGUACGAGCGGUCGCGUUCUUAUUCUUUUGCCCGCUAAUAACUAACCAAUACUCAGAAAGUAACCAAGCAUAGUGCCACUGAUAAUCUAGUAGCCUAGCAUAAACGCAGCUUUUUGAAUAAACGCAUGCAGUAAAAAAUUAUUUCCGUGAGAUUUCCGCGCGCUUAGUUUAAACCGUAUACUGGCAUAUAUUUGCGCUUAGAUUAAACGUAUUUCAAGCGACGCGACAGAAUUUUCAUGCAAGGUGACUCAACGCGUUUUAAGCGAUAGUUUAGGCAGUUGCAUAUUUUGAUUCUUGACAAGUGGUGUUAAUAAUAUUGAGCUGCUUGAUCGUACGCGUGCUGUAUUCAUUAACCGCGUUGCUUAGUAUCUAAAUGCGAAAGUGUUACGCUUAGCUAACCGCUUCCAUCGUGAGCGUAUAAAAGCGCUUUGCAUAAACAGCAAACCCCUGCGUUGACACAUAAGCGCGCGUAUUUGAAAACAAUUUUGAUAAGCAAAAAUAAUAAAAACCACAACAAACAAACAAAUUUACGCAAAACGCUAGCCAUACACCGCCUGGCAGCCGCUUCCCUACUUCCGCCGCUUAGCAACUAUAUUCAAACCAUAUUGAAAGUGUCGGAAAAGCGAUCAGCCAGCUAUUUCCUCACGCUGCUUGCGAGCGGAAGCUGUAAAUUCUAUUACGAUUUUGCCAUUAUUGUUUUUUGACUUUUGACUUGAAAAUCGCGUAGCCUACAGCGCGUUCCACUUCUGCCUAGUUCUGUGCGCGCUUGUCGUUUUGUAAACCGUGGCUCAUUGCUGGCCGCUUCAGGUUUUUUGAACGCGUACAACCCGACAAAUAUUUAUUAAAUAUUAAAGAGUGCACGCAAUAACUAAAAAGUAAAAUUUAAAUAAAAAAUAAAAUAACAGCAAAAGCAAUUUUGUGUUCAAGUGCUUGAGUGAUAUCAACUAUUCAACUUUUGGCUGAUUUAGGCAGCUGUUACAAACUGUUGUUGCAUAUUGACGCUUGAGUGCUCGACAGCGCGUCAAAGUGUUGUUGAAAGUGAAGAUUUAUCGCGCUUACUUAAAUCGUUUGGAAAAUAAACAGUUAUAAUAGGAAUACCAACAAAAGCAGUUCUUUGAAAACACAUUGUUCUUGGCGCUGGUUCAGAGCGCAAGUAAAAUAGUGCAUAAAAUUUAAAUAAAUUAAAUAGUUGUUUAAAAUUAAUAAUACUAACGUGAGCUAAGCGAUUCUACUAACCAAAAGUACUAACUGAUAUAUUCUUAAUAAAUGUAAAAUGGUUUACUGAGCACAAAUACAAAAUCCAAGUGAGUUUCAACCAAUACGCACAUAUACCAUACACUGAGAAAAAUUUAAUAAAAAUAAUUUCGAAGUCAAGUUUGUGAGUAGUAGCGAAUUGUUAAGAGAAAUUUUAGAAGAUAUAGCUUUCAACGGUUUUGAGCUUCCUCAAUAGAUUUCUAGGUAUGUUUCAUUGAUUUUCGGGGCUUACUAUGAUUA
rnacentral:lncRNA from 1 species